GGUCCCUACGGGAGGCAGCAGUGGGGAAUAUUGGUCAAUGGACGGAAGUCUGAACCAGCCAUGCCGCGUGCAGGAUGACGGCUCUAUGAGUUGUAAACUGCUUUUGUACGAGAAUAAUAGUUCUUACGUGUAGGGAUUUGAAUGUAUCGUACGAAUAAGGAUCGGCUAACUCCGUGCCAGCAGCCGCGGUAAUACGGAGGAUUCGAGCGUUAUCCGGAUUUAUUGGGUUUAAAGGAAGCGUAGGCUGUCGGAUAAGUUAGAGGUCAAAUGUCGGGGCUUAACCC
rnacentral:rRNA from 1 species